ACCUACCACAGCAUGGCUUGCCAAGCGGUACCGUGGCUGCACCCAGGAUCUGAACUGGUGAACCCUGGGCUGUGGAAGCGGAACGUGCACACUUAACCACUGUGCCACUGUGCCAGCACCUUGCACCUUUUUCAAUUCCCCAAGCCCCAUAGUCCAGUCCUUGGCUGUUUUUCUCCUGCUUACAAUUGACCUAGUCAGACAGAUUCUGGGGUGAGUGGACCUAUGGCUCCUAAGGCUGACGGGACGGACAUGUGGCCACCCACUAGUAUGUGGUUCCUGGUGGUGGAGGUCCUGUUGAAUUGGGCUCCUGCAGAAGGAUGGGAGUCUGUGGAUGGUACCCCAGUCAGCACUGAGACGGCUCUGCAUAGCCUAGGGGAGCAGGUCCCAGAGAAGGCCCAGCCUGCCAUGGGGCCGGCUGGCUGUUUUUGACAGCGUUAUGCCGCAACAUGGAUUCUGCCCUGCAGUAUGCAACCUGCAUACAGGAACUCCAAGCCAAGGAGCAUGCCUUGGAGGUGCAGGUGUGGCAGUCGGAACUGGAGCUGGAAAUGGUGCCUCGCAGUGAGACAGCGGAGGACAUUGAGGUUGGGGACUGCAGAGGAUGAGGACGUGGAGGAAACAUGCCCUCUCCAUGCUUGGCCAGUAAUCCAGCAAAAGAUCUACAGCAGGCUCCUGAUUCCCUGUGGAAGCAUCUGGCAACGUGGCUGGGCAGCCAAUGAUGCCAAAGUCCGGGGACCUGGCUUAUCUGUCAAAUUCUUGGGGGCUGUCUGGUCAGGCUCAGCAAUGGUUGUCCAGAAACCGCCCCAUGUGUGGGCAGGCCAUGAGGCAGGAACUGUGGGCCUUGGGCCAUGGAAAAGAGGUGACAGUGUAUCAUGUUCCUGGCCAUAUGACUCUGACUGCUCCUGGGAACGAUGAGGCUGAUGCUCUGGCCCAUAUGAGGUGGCUGGAAAGGGCCCCGUCUGCAGAUGUGGCACACUGGCUACAUCAACGCCUAAAUCAUGCAGGGAGCAAGACCGUGGGAACAGUGAGUAACACUGGGGGGUACCCCUCACGUGGCAACAAAUAAUGACAACAUGUAAAGAAUGUGCUGUAUGUGCCCAGGCCUUUCCUAAUAGAAGGAAACCAGUGUCCACACAGCAGCAAGUAGCUGGAGGGCGUGUGCCCUUGGUCUGACGGCAGGUGGACUACAUCGGACCAUUACCAAAGACCAAAGGCGCUGUGUACGCCUCUACGGCUGUCGAUAAGGCCACCGGUUCCCUCUUUGCAUGGCUCUGUGCAGCCACAGAUCAGAGGCAGACACUUCAGGCCCUGCAGGUACUCUGUGCCUUUUAUGGUUGACCCUUGGUCGUGGAGAGCGACAAGGGGACACAUUUUACAGGACAAGAAGUCCAACGGUGGGCCAGCACCAUGGAUGUUCAACGGCUUUUCCAUACUCCUUGUAACCCGGCUGCUGCCGGGAUGAUAGGAAGGUAUAAGGGGCUUUUAAAGCAGGGCUCAGACACAGCCAUGCAGCCUUCCUCCCUGGGAGGCUGGGCAACUCGGUUGCGGCAGGUGCUGAUGGUGUUCAAUGAACAGCCUCAAAAGGGAGGGCCAACUCCCAUAGAGGCAUUGCUGUGUCACAGCCCCCACACAGCUGCAAGCAGUGACCACGGAUGAGUUACCAAAGCCUGGCUACAGCCGAAAUGGAAACAUUCUUUUGCCGGCCCCAACAUGUCUCAACAUGGGGGAAGAACGAGAAUGGGAAUGGCCUUGAAGAUAAAAGCCCCUCACGGCAAGCAGCUGGCGCCUUGAGCACCCUGGGGACUUGGGGAACAACAAGACUUGUCACCUUGUGGGUGACUAGGACUUGGACCCCUCAAGUAACUGUCAGGCUGCCACAGACCGAUGCCGGUUCUGUCCUGAAGGGAACAUAUGUGAUUUCCAUGUGGCCAAUAACGAGUUCCCCUGUCCUGCUGCAUGUGGAGCCAGCUCUUGCAGUGCCUCUGCAGGCAGGAAAGGUGUGGUAUCAUCGGCUGGGACAGCCCCCGUUGGCAGCCACCCUCUUGUCUCAGGAUAAGUGGCUAGCCUGUGUUCUGACUGAAGGACGUGAUUGGCUUCUCCUAGUUCCUAUCACUGCUUUGUCCUUUCGCCCAUAGACGGAGUGUGGCGAACAGUGUUGUGGAAUGGGCACACACCUAGCUGAGGUGACCAACAUAUCUAACUGCUGGGUGUGCACAGAACUGCCCACCAGCAUGGCAGAAGGCUCGCUGUGACACAUCCACCCUGCUUCAGAAGGGAACCGGACCUGGCUGUGUUCCUGAGGACCUGCUGAUGCUCAGUGGGACCAAAGAAGGCACCAGGUGGACCAGUAGCUGUGCUGACAACAUGGACGAAAACGGCCCUGGGUGACCCCGAGCCUCUGGGAUGACUAUGGGUGGUUAUGCGGGGAGGCUGUUGUGCUCUGCGUGUCUGUGCCCCCAUGCAUAGAGCAACAGAAGGGGGAUGUGAUAGCAGGAUAGGUACCCAAGGAGCUGUGUCAGAAGAUCCAGGGAGUGACCCAGCCCAAGUAUUGGUGGAAUGCCCAUCCCUAUGUAGGGACAAUCCCCAUGGACAGAGUGCCCACGGGCAGUCUCUGGGUCUGUGGUAGUUAUGAAUGGCCUUAUCUCCUGGCCAACUGGACAGGGUGAUGCACUUGGGGGUGGCCCUACCUCGCAGCUGCUGUUCGGAGAACUUUGGAUGUGCGACCCAGCAAUUGGGAGAGGGUAAAAGGGCACUGUCACUGGGAGAAAUGAAUGCCCUGGUGGGUUUACGUCCUGGCUGUUCUUAGUCCGCGGGGGCUAUUGCUAUGGAGUGGCAGGUUACUGCCUUGACAGAGCAAAACGCCCGAGCCCUCAGUCAUACAGCCUGGGCCCUGUCUCUCUUAACUGAUGGAGUAGACCAGACCCGGAAGGUCGUGCUGCAGAACCGCAUGGCUCUAGACAUCCUUACUGCAGCACAAAGGGGGACCUGUGCAGUUACUGAGGUGCAAUGUUGCACGUUUAUACAAGAUAGUGCAAGGAACAUAUCGCAAGCCUUGCGAUAGGCCAGGCACAAGAUCUCGUGGAUCCAGACGUUGACAGGAGACCCCCUGCAGGAACAGUGAUCUAAGUUGUCCUCCUCGUGGCGGUGGGCUCUGACCACAUUAGGAGGUAUAUCCUGUCUCCUGAUGGUCAUUUGCUGUUCUCUGUAUUGCUGUUGUGGAAUGUAGGUCCAAGGCAUUGGGCUGUGUGCCCGUGCCUCCUGCAAACUCCCCCCACUGCUGAGGUCUGAUGGGGGUGGAGGGAAGGGAAAUGGAGGUACUGUGGACAAUCAGACCGGAGCAGCUUCUGGGCAUCUGUGACUCAGCAUGUCCCCUGCAGGCAGUGCAUGUGCCAACCAUGUAUGUAAACACCUUAUGUAACCUGCAUAAUGUAAACAUUGUCUGCUGGCUAUCUGCCACUUUUGUCUAGUAGUCAUUUAAAAGUGGCCACAAGGGGGGGCUGGCCCCGUGGCCGAGUGGUUAAGUUCGCGCGCUCCGUGCAGGCGGCCCAGUGUUUUGUUAGUUCGAAUCCUGGGCGUGGA